AACUCUCAACCCCCCCGUUUUGUAAUGAGACGGGCGUCUUGGGCUUGGAUUAUGGCCGCCUGCUGGCAUUGAUUUGCCGGCUCGGCUGAAAUACAUGAGCAACCCAGUGUUUUGAAAGACUGCUUUCUUAACGGCUUGACUCGGCGUAAUAGUUUAUUUCGCUGAGGACGUUUUGAAUACGCGACUUUUCAAUCAUCAAGUGGAUGCUUCUAAUGCGCGGGAUCCCUUCUUUAAGGCCCCACACCUUUUAAGCUU
rnacentral:misc_RNA from 1 species